rnacentral:lncRNA from 1 species
AUAUCUCAUCAAGUGAUCUAUAAGAGAAUGGUAAUCAUAAAUCUUUGUAGAUGUAUUUCUUUUAAGAAAAUAAUAUCAUACUCAACAUUGAUAACACAAAUAGCUUCCUUCAUUAUAGAAAGAAUCUACUGGAAAGGAUCCAUCAAUUUCAGAAUUUUAUUUUCGAACUCAUAGCAAGAAAAGUGAUAAAAGUUGGGUAAAUGAGAAAGCUGAAACUGCUUAUGUAGGUAUUCGUUCGCUCUAUUAUUUUGUAGAUUAAAUAUUUAUUUAAGUUGUGUUAAAUAUCUUGGUAAGAAGAUGAAAUGAUCUUGUUAUAGCCAAUUAGUAUUGUUGCCUAGCGGUGAAUGAAAACCAUGGAAAACCAGGGUGAAAAUUCCAGCAGAGACAAAGUGCUAGGUGAUUUCUUCGGUACUUAAAAUGGUGGGAGGUAGCAAGUACCCGAUGAAAUAAGGAAGGUGUGCGCGGCAGGUGGCCCAGACACUGCGGCUUUUUAGAAAUGAAAUGAUCUUGCUGAUAAUCUUAAAGUUCUUUGAACCAAUAAAUAUGAGAAAAAUUACCUUAUUUUCCAACUGUUUGGAAAACUAGAAUUGUCUUCCUUGCGACCCUGUUCUACUAUAAUUAUUUGAUACUAGUGGUAGAUGUAGUUGUCUUCCAAGUGAAAGCAAUCAUAAGUGAAGAACAUCUCGACACUUUUACUUCCAAGUACACAGAAUAAGAAGUUGGCAGUACUCUAUAGAAAAUGCCAUGCUAGUAUAUGCAUUAUGUAAUCAUAUUUUAUUUGUUAAUAUCAAUGUUGACAAGUAUAUUGCUUUUGAUGGUUGCCAGUUAAUAGUGAGAGCUAGAGAUUUGCCUUUAAAUAUUGUCUCAAAUAACUUGUUUUGAUGUAGAAUACUUUUGAAAGAAAGAAACAAGAAUUAUUAGCUUCUCAAAGUGCAUCAGCUGCGGAAGGAGAAACUAAUUUAGCUGGUCAACCUUCUCAAUUAACAUAAAUGGAUAUCUGGGUGGAAUACGUUGGUGGAAAGAAAAAAGGAAGAGUUAAAGGUCUUGGAUCCCUGGGUCGAUCUGUAAAGUCGUCGUCUAAACAAUCAACAUCAGCUUUAUCGAGAGAAAUUGAUGAGAUGAUUAAAGCUCAAGUAAAUGCUUCCAAUGCCAACUUAUAUGCUCAACUGCAGAAAGAGCAUCACAAAAAUAAGAGGAUGAGG